GUGAUCCCUGAAGACCAGCGUGGGACGGAAACGAAUAGAUUUGUCACCGCAGCCCCCCAACACCACACCUGAAAGAAGAGGCAGGAGGACUUAAAAUUGCAAUGGAUUGUUUGUGAAAUGCCAUGUGUAAAGCCACGCCUUCCUGCUAGACUGCAUGCUUCCUGAAGGGAGGGGCUCUGAUGGUCUUCAUCAUCACUGUAACUGUCUCUAGUGUCCACUUACAACUAACCACCUCAGCGAACACUUGUUGAGUAAAUAAAUGGAUAAAGAAAUCCCAUUCA